rnacentral:tRNA from 1 species
UGGAUCACCUCCUAACAGGGAGACAACAAAAUGUUAAAUAUUAUUUUGUCACCUUAGGUCGAUCGGUAUCUCGCAUUCUUAAUUAAUUAAGAAUUUCAUUUCCUAAGUUUUUCUAGGUCACACCCAUUAUUUUUCCUGGGCCAUUAGCUCAGGUGGUUAGAGCGCACCCCUGAUAAGGGUGAGGUCCCUGGUUCAAGUCCAGGAUGGCCCAUAUCUCUAUGUUGGGGGUAUAGCUCAGUUGGUAGAGCGCCUGCUUUGCAAGCAGGAUGUCAGCGGUUCGAGUCCGCUUACCUCCACUGAUUACCACCUCUUCCAUAAUCUUUAGAAAGGAAAUGUUUUGAGUUGUGAUCAAAUUCUGAACGAUUCUAGCUUCCUAAUAAAAUUAUUAAGAUGCUGGACUCAUUGAAUUAAUUUCAUUGUUUUCAGAGAACCUUGACAACUGCAUAGAUUAUUUUUAAAGACAAUAAGCAUCUUUAAUGAUGCAGAUUUAUUAUUUGUGCGAAUGCAUUAAUAACAAUUCUAUUAAGCUGAUGCUUCAAUUUUGAAGUUAUUGGUCGAGCUACAAAGGGCUCACGGAGGAUACCUAGGCACACAGAGGCGAUGAAGG